rnacentral:rRNA from 1 species
UACGUAGGUGGCAAGCGUUGUCCGGAUUUACUGGGCGUAAAGAGCGCGCAGGCGGUCGUUCAAGUCGCGUGUGAAAGCCCCGGCUCAACUGGGGAGGGUCACGCGAUACUGAUCGACUCGAAGGCAGGAGAGGGUAGUGGAAUUCCCGGUGUAGUGGUGAAAUGACGUAGAUAUCGGGAGGAACACCAGUGGCGGAAGGCGGUUGCCUGGGGCUUUGCUGACGC